rnacentral:lncRNA from 1 species
GGCUUAGUGUACCUAGUCUUCAGGGACCAGUAGGAUGUACUUCACUUAUCACUCGUCUAGCCUCUAAUCUUCACUUGCUAGAAAACUCAUCAUUGGACUUCAUAGAUGAGUUAAGAAUUUAUCAUGGCUAUGACACAUUUAGACAGACUCGGAUGUUAAAGACAGAGGGGAAUGUAAUGUAUAUGCUAUAUGAUGAUAAAGGCAAGAUUCGGUUACCUAACCCGAACCUUGGCCUAUACGUUGUUCAAAAUUUUUUGAUUGAGACUGCAGCAACACCGGUGAACCAGAGAGCUCCACAACGAGUGGCAUCUAAAAGGAUGACCACCCACCGGGAACGCACCUGGUAUGGAGCUGAUCCUGGGCCAGAAGAAGCAGCGCACCUGCAUUAUUUUGACUACAACCCCCGAGUCCUUCGAGACCCAUGGGUUCGACAUGCGCAACCACAAGAGCCAACAGAGGAGACAUGGACGGAGAGCCAAGAUCACCAGUGGACAAACCCGCCUUUCCAUACGGGCAGGUACUCCACUGAUCCAUAUGGAGCUUCAGGAUCCAGACCUCUGCCCCAAUUUGAUGCAGGACGAUACUCCGACGCCUCCUACGCUUUCACGAAUGACUACUAUCAAGAGGCCGGUGCUUUCUUCACCCAUACUGACAACACUCUCCUCGACAUCCAGAACACGCAAGCAGAACAUGGACGACUCCUAGAAGAACAACAAAAAUAGAACCAGGACCAUGCUGCUACAGUAGAAGAACUGAGACAAGAUACAACAACAAUGAACGACAACAUCACAACCAUGAUGCAGUUCUGGAAUAUCGAGUAAGGCCGACAGCAACAUCCAGCUUGGGGGAGUUCCUCCCAAAUUUAUCAAGUAAGUUUUUAUUUGCUCUUCUUAUUUAUUCUUUUCUAUUCUAGUGUUUUAUUUAUCUUAGAGAGAAAAAAACUUAGAAAACCCAAUAAAUAUUUUCUUGCUUUAAUUUACUGCAUUCUAUAAACAUGAAAACAAAAUAAAAAGAGUGUGUAGAUAAGUGUGCUUUAUUUUCGUGCUAAGUUUAAUCUCUAGAAAAAUAAAAAGACCAAAAAGAUACAUGAUGGAAAUGAUGAACAGUUGCUCUGUUUGCUUACUUACAAGUACCUAGCUUUUAUAUUAGAGUUCUUCCAGGAAUUACUAAAAUUGAAAUUACUAUCUAUGGGAAACAUAUAACUAAAAGUCUAGGUAAGAGAAAGGCAUGAUAUAAAGUUUGAGCUACUGUUUAUCUUGUUCCUACUACACUAAGUUCUGGAGAUUUAUUUUGAAAACCUACAAAUCACAUGAUGAGUUCCUAGCAUUGCAAACUACCUACCACAUCCAUACUUGCUAUAACAUCUUUUACUAUAUUUACAUUGAGUUUGAUCGAGCUGUGUAGACCCUUAGGAGCUUUUCAUGUAGUUAAAUUAAGAUAUUCACUUGCACACAUCCACUACACCAUUCAUCACCAAUCAUUAAAAUUGCUAAAAAUAUUAUCACUCACUGUCCCAAGUAUUGUUAUUCUCCCUCUCCAAAAAGAUUCAAUGUAGAAGAGGCAUGGGCUAUGCAAAAAUAUACGAGGAAAUAAAAAGGGGCAAGUGCCCGGAACCUCGAAAAAGAAAGAAAAAAGAGUGAGACGAGAGGUAAAAAUGGACAAGUGUCUAGGGUAAAAUUAGGGGUACAAAGAUGCCCACUUGAGCGGAAAAAAUGGACAUGUGUCUGACAGUAGAAUUAGGGGUAUCUAAUACCCACCUAAAAAAAAAGAAAAAGAUAGCCCAUGUUCUCCCAAAGCAAAGAUCAAAGAAGAGGAGAAAUAGCAAUAUGAGGAGCAAUGAGAACUAAGUUUUAUUAUCACUUAUAUAUCUUCAUCAUCACUAUCAUUACUCCAUCACACAUGCACAUCUUGAUUUAAUUAUAUGCUGAGUUCCUUUGGAUCCAUGGCUCGAUUAGACAACAUAUGUAUGAGCUGUUUUUCACUCCUAUGAGCUCCACUUAAAUAUUCCAUUAGCUAUAGGUAAGUGAUAUCUUGGUAAGGAUCCACAAAUACCACAUAUAGAGAGACUUGAGAGAAUCAUUGCUGGGAACUCUGAGUGUUAUUUUAAAAAAAACUUAUGAAAAACUCUGGAACAACGGUGAAGUAUAAACAGGAUGAAUAGUGCUUGACUUAAUUAUUUUGUCUUUCAAUUACUUAAGACUUAAGUGCAUGUUCUAAACUCCAUGACACUUCACUCUAAUCUGGAAGAAAUUUUAUAAAAGCAUGUGUGCCUGUCAGGAAAGAAAACAUCGAAGCAACUCCUGAUCCGUCUGAGUUUAGCUGUUUGCUCGGGAACGAGCAAAUGGUAAGCUUGGGGGAGUUUGUUGAUGGUCCUUAAGUACUAAAAUUAAUAAUCAAAUAAACAUGGAAAAGGAUCAAUGUGAAACAAACAUCUAGAAUUAGGGUUUUAUCUGACAGAAUUGCACAAGCUUUGGUGUUUAUCUAUUUCUGCAGGGGGUUAUCAGAGAAUAUGGAGAGAAGGCCCACAUGUCAUGUUUACAACGAGAUAAUAACGUGCCGCGCAAUUUUCCUCAAUCUAGAAGAGUCCAGAAGCCACUGGAACGAACGAGAACACGAUCGGGCUCGGGGGCAGGGCGGCCGCCCAUCCCCCUUGGGCGCCCGCCCAGGGUUGGAGUCUAAUCGGGACUCUGCUUCAGGGCUAAACUCCACCGACCUAAAGGAUCAAUCUAAACCACACAAUCAAUGUCGGUUUGAUCCGACGGCCCACAUUCACUUGAAGGGACUAUAAAACCAAGGCCUCUCCACCCCUGGAGGAGAGAGGAGAAGAGAAGAAAUCAUUAUUCAGAGGUAGCCAUCAAAGUUAGGGCUUAGAGCUUCUCUCCCACAGAGAAUUAGAAUUAGCUACUCCCUAAUCCUUCAAGUUUAGAGGUUUGAUUAGAUAGCAAUUAGAGAAGUAGAGCACUACACUCUGGAUUUGGAUCUUCGGUAAUAAAGAUUGGUAUUAUUCAUAUCUUUCUCUAAUUCUUUGUUCUAAUUGCAUUAUUUCUCUAAUUAUUAUGUUCUUAAUUUGCUCUAGUUCUAUAUUUGAUAUAGUUAUGAUUGAUAAUGAGUUUAUGUAUAAGUUUGCAAAGCGCUUAGCUCUUGACGCGAGGGAGUUAGGUGAUAGAUCACAUGUGAGCGUGGUGCUUAGAUGUUAUUUAUCUGCAAAUGUAUCCUAUUGGCCGGGUCGUGUGGUAGUUCGCGAUAGUGACAGCUUCGUUGAUUCUUAUAUAGACCACCCUCCGUUGAUAGGACAGUUAGAACCGGUAUUGUGGAGUAAGUCUUGCGAUGCUCUGAUUUACUUUAGCAAUGUUCCUUAUACAUGAAUGAAGAGUCUUUUAUGCUAUAUAUGAUCUUGUAGAUAAUUAGAGCAGAUUAUGACUUAGUAGAUAGUAGAUAACUUAGAAUCCAUUCUCUAGCUAAUCCGACAUCACCUAAAUAUAUGAGGAGUAGUCUAUUUUCUAAUCGCUGUGUUAUUUAUCCCGUGAACUUAUAAUUCAUUAUCAUUAUCUUUAUGGUUUACCCCCUGCUAAAGUAAGUGACUGUGUGAUGAGUUUCUCAUUAGUAAUCAUGUUCUUGCAAGUUUACCUCUAGUCUAUGCCUUGAUAGAUUUUGCCCUUAAUUUUAUCUCCUUAGUUCUCUUGAGCAAAAUUAUAAAUAACGAUACCUGGAAUACUUAUCCUGGUGAAAUGCUACAAUGAGGUGCUUUAUCUGUGCGCUUGCGGAUAGAAUAGAUUAUUUUCUAAAGAGCCUUUACAUUUAUAAAUACCUUUGUACACUCUGGCACCAUGCUGGGGAUGACAACCUAGUAUCUAAGUGGUGUUAGCUAGUGUCAACAGUGUGUCAUAUAGAAUCUCACUUUGGUCUCUUUGGAGAUAGUGUUAGUUUCGGGGCAAGAUAGGUACAUGGUUUGUGCCUAAUGCACCAUAGGCUAAGAAACCGUUUUGGACGCACACGAUGGUACUCCUAGGUAAAGGGGCUCAAGUGGAAGCUCGGUUUUGAGAUAGUGCUAAUCUUGAUGCAAGAUAGGUGCACGAAUUACAUGGAACGUACUGUAUGCUUAGAAAUAUUUUGGAAGCACCCAAUAGAACUCCUAGUUGACGUGUGUCAUAUAGAAUCUCACUUCGGUCUCUUUGGAGAUAGUGUUAGUUUUGGUGCAAGAUAGGUACACUUUUUGUGCCUAAUGCACCAUAGGCUAAGAAACCAUUUUGGACGCACGUGAUGUUACUCCUAGGUAGAGGGGCUCAAAUAGAAGCUCGAUUUGGAUAUAGCGCUAAUCUUGAUGCAAGAUAGGUGUACGGUUUGCAUGGAACGUUCCAUAUGCUCGGAAAUCAAUUUCGAUGCACCCGAUAGAACUCCUAGAUAAUGUGUGUCAUAUAGAAUCUCGCUUCGGUCUGUUUGGAGACAAUGUUGGUAUCAGUGCAAGAUAGGUACACGGUUUGCGCCUAAUGCACCAUAAUCUUAGACACCAUUGUGGAAGCACCUGAUGAUACUCCUAGGUGAAGAGGCUGAUGUGGAAGCUCGGUUCAGUCUGUUUGGAGAUAGUGCUAAUCUUGAUGUAAGAUAGGUGCACGGUUUGCAUGUAACAUACCAUAUGCCUAGAAAUCAAUUUAUACGCACCCAAUAGAACUCUUAGAUGAUGUGUGUCGUAUGGAGUCUCGCUUUGGUCUAUUUAGAGACAAUGUUAGUUUCAGUGCAAGAUAGGUGCACGGUUUGCGCCUAAUGCACCAUAGGGUCGAAACCAUUGUGGAAGCACCCGAUUGUACUCCUAGGUGAACAGGCUCAAGUGAAUGCUCGGUUUGGUCUAUUUCGAUAUAGUGCUAAUCUUGAUGCAAGAUAGGUGCAUGGUUUGCAUGGAACAUACCAUAUGCUCGGAAAUCAAUUUGGACACACCCGAUAGAACUCCUAGAUGAUGUGCGUCAUAUGGAAUUUUGCUUUGGUCCAUUUGGAGAUAGUGUUAGUUUUGGUGCAAGAUAGGUGCACGGUUUGCACCUAAUGCACCAUAGUCUAAGAAACCAUUUUGGACGCACCCGGUGGUACUCCUUGGUGAAGAGGCUCAAGUGGAAGCUUGGUUUGGUCUGUUUGGAGAUAGUUCUCAUCUUGGUGUAUGAUAGGCGCACGAUUUGCAUGGAACGUACCAUAUGCUUAGAAAUCAAUGUGGACACACCCGAUGGAACUGCUAGAGGCACCCGAUGGAACUACUAGCUAAAGUUUGUCAUAUGGACUCUCGCUUCGGUCCAGUUGAAGAUAGUAUAUUCACAAAAAUCAAUUUGGACGCACCCGAUAGAACUCCUAGAUGAUGUAUGUCAUAUGGAAUCUCGCUUCUUUGUUUCGAGACAGUGUUAGUUUAGGUGCAAGAUUGGUGCAUGGUUUGCGCAUAAUGCACCAUAGGCUCAAAAACUAUUGUGGAAGCACCCGAUGAUACUCCUAGGUGAAGAGGCUCAAGUGGAAGGUCGGUUCGAUCUGUUUGGAGAUACUGCUAAUCUUGAUGCAAGAUGGGUGCACGGUUUGCAUGGAACGUACCAUAUGCUAAGAAAUCCAUUUGGACGCACCCCAAUCGAACUCCUAGAUGACAUGUGUCAUAUGGAAUCUCGCUUCGGUCUGUUUGGAGACAGAGUUAGUUUUGGUGCAAGAUAGGUACACAGUUUGGGCCUAAUGCAUCAUAGGCUAAGAAACCAUUUGGGAUGUACCCGAUGAUACUCCUGGGUAAAGGCGCUCAAGUGGAAGCUCAGUUUGGUCUGUUUGGAGAUAGUGCUAAUCUUGAUGAAAGAUAGGUGCAUGAAUUGCAUCGAACAUACCAUAUGCUUAGAAAUCAAUGUGGACACACCCGAUGGAACUGCUAGAGGCACCCAAUGGAACUACUAGCUGAAGUUUGUCAUAUGGAAUCUCGCUUCGGUCCAGUUGAAGAUAGCAUAUUCACAAAAAUCAAUUUGGACGCACCCGAUAGAACUCCUAGAUGAUGUGUGUCAUAUUGUAUCUGCUUUGGUCCGUUUGGAGAUAGUGUUAGUUUAGGUGCAAGAUUGGUGCACGAUUUGCACAUGAUGCAUCAUAGGCUCAGAAACUAUUGUGGAAGCACCCAAUGAUACUCCUAGGUGAAGAGGCUCAAGUGGAAGCUUGGUUCGAUCUGUUUGGAGAUAGUACUAAUCUUGAUGCAAGAUAGGUGCACGGUUUGCAAGGAACGUACCAUAUGCUCAAAAAUCCAUUUGGACACACCCAAUAGAACUCCUAGAUGACAUGUGCCAUACAAAAUCUCACUUCAGUGUAUUUUGAGACAUAGUUAGUUUUGGUUCAAGAUAGGUACACGGUUUGUGCCUAAUGCAUCUUAGGCUAAGAAACUAUUUUGGAUGCACCCGAUGAUACUCCUAGGUAAAGGUGCUCAAGUGGAAGCUCAUUUGUUUGUUUGGAUAUAGUGCUAAUCUUGAUGCAAGAUAGGUGCACGAAUUGCAUGGAACAUACCAUAUGCUUAGAAAUCUAUUUGGAAGCACCUAGUGGAACUCCUAGAUGAUGUGUGUCAUAUAGAAUCUCACUUUGGUCUCUUUGGAGAUAGAGUUAGUUUUGGUGCAAGAUAGGUACACAGUUUGUGCCUAUUGCACCAUAGGCUAAGAAACAUUUUGGACACACAUGAUGGUAUCACUUUGGUCUCUUUGGAGAUAGAGUUAGUUUUGGUGCAAGAUAGGUACACAGUUUGUGCCUAUUGCACCAUAGGCUAAGAAACAUUUUGGACACACAUGAUGGUACUUUUAGGUAAAGGGGCUCAAGUGGAAGCUCAGUUUGAAGAUAGUGCUAAUCUUGUUGCAAGAUAGGUGCACGGUUUGCAUGGAGCGUACCAUAUGCUCGGAAAUCAAUUUUGAUGCACCCGAUACUACUCCUAGAUAAUGUGUGUCAUAUAGAAUCUCGCUUCGUUCUGUUUGGAGACAUUGUUAGUUUUGAUGCAAGAUAGGUGCAUGGUUUGCACCUAAUGCACCAUAGGCUCAGAAACUAUUGUGGAAGCACCCGAUGAUACUCCUAGGUGAAGAGGCUGAAGUGGAAGCUUGGUUUGGUCUCUUUUGAGAUAGUGCUAAUCUUGAUGUAAGAUAUGUGUACGGUUUGCAUGGAACAUACCAUAUGCUUAGAAAUCAAUUUGGACACUGUAAGUGCAAUCAAGCCCUAGUGGGUUUUGGUGUUAAUGACCACACAAUUAGAGGACUAAUGAGAUUUGUUGAGAUGACCAGCAGGUAAAAUAAGAAUGAGGAUAACACAUGAGAUGUGAGAUGGAAAAAGCCCAAUUUACCAAAUGUGUUGGUCCAUUGAUGGAGUUGAACAAAAACAUUCGGUGAAUUAUAGCACCCCAAGUUUUCAAUAGAUGAACAGCGUUUCGACUCAAGUGGCUACAAAGUUUUUAUCUCUUGUUGAGUUUUAGGAAACGCCGCACUAUCAAGAGGGAUGCAAAUUAAGUUGGUAAGAUGAGGAUAGGGGUGCUCAAGUCAAUUUACUUAAUGCGCAUGAGAGACACACUUGCACUCACAGGCACUCAGGAAAUUUCUUCUCUGCUAGGGUGACUUGGUAGUACCAACCCUCAGGGCCGGUGGUACCGGCAGUGCCACCCCUUCUCCUGAGUUUUGCGAGAAAAUGAACUACCGGUAGUACCGGGCUCGGGCCGGUGGUACCGGCCAGCACCAGUAGUACCGUUGUGAAACGCCGGUAGUACCGGCAGGCUAAAUCUGCGCUGACUUUGGUUGCGGAGAUUUGAACUGCCGGUGGUACCGGCCUUCCACCGGUGGUACCGGCAAUGGUCGGUAGUACCGACAAAAGCCCGGUGGUACCGGUAGGCUUAUUUCUCGCAAAUGAUAGAGACUUCUUACUGUUAGAUCUGGGGUAGCCGGUGGUACCGGUGGUUGCCCCGGUAGUACCGGUAGUUGUUCAGGACCUUUGUAUAAAUAGCUCUUCCCUCAUUUCUGACCGUUGGCUCUUCCAUCCUUCGAAUCCACAUCUGAGAAAACAGUCUCCAAGCAUUGACUCACCCACUCUCUCUCCCUCUUUGCUCCUAGGCUUCAAUCCUUGAGAGAUUCGAGCUAGAGAAGUGAUAUUAGAGAGUUGGGAGCUUCGAUUCGUGACUUGAGCACUUGGUUUCUUCGUCUUGCCAGUUGGUUUGCAUUUGUUACUCUUGGGUUCUUGGAACCCUAGUCGGCUAGGCGUUCUUCGUGGUUGCCCGUGUUGUUUCACUUGUGAGGGCACCUCGAAGUGUUUGUAUUACCCUUUGAUUCUUAGUGGAAAUCUCUAGCUAACCUUCAUGGUUACUUGAGGGAGGAGACCUAAGUGGUCGGACCUUCGUGGUCACCUCAACAACGAGGACGUAGGAACUCCUUAGUGGGGAUUGCCGAACCUCGGGAUAAAUAUCUUGUCUUGCUGUGGAGGUAGCUUCGACUAUCCUUGUUCUUGUGUUCUUCGUGUUCUUCCUCUCUACCCAUUUCAUAGGUGAACAAGGGCCGAUCUAUGUUUUGGAGAAGAACCGAGUCAAGGGAACUUCAACAUCUUCCUCAACUACAUCUAGGAGAGUGGGGUAACUCCCAAAUCUGAAAUCAAAACUCAUUAUACUCUGAUUUCGUAGCUCUCUUAGGAGGUCGGUAGUACCAGCAGUUUGCGUCGGUAGUACCGGCUGUCUUACACCAGUAGUACCGGCCCAAACUGUCGGUGGUACCAACAGGCAUUUAACUUCUGCAACUUGAGUUUUUGAGUUUCAGGUUUUUUAGAUACGCCUAUUCACCCCCCUCUAGGCUACCAAGGAUCCUUACAAGUGGUAUCAAAGCCGGUUACCUCGUGUGUGCUUCACCACGUGAGGUAUGGAGCCUGGAGGAAGAUCGAGCGGUGCAAAGUCUAUGGAAGUUCGUCCGGAGGAAAUGGUCUUGCAUGACAGUGACACUGAUAGCAGCCAACUCAAUGUGUCGACGCAAGCAAUACCACACUUCCUCAUCUCGAGCCUACCGAUGGUGAAAGGGCUCUCAGUGAAGAAGAGAAGAGAAAGAGCAAAGAAGCAAGAAAGCUCAAAAGAGAAGCAAGAGAAAAGAAGAAAGAGUGACAACGAUUAGAUGAGAAGAAGGCAAGAAAAGAAGCUAGAAGGCUCAAAAGAGAAGAAAGAAGAAAGAGAAGGGAAGCUAGGAAGAAGAAAGAAGUAGCCAAAGCUCCCAAUACAUCUUCUAGUGAGCUUUCUAGCAGCUCCGAAGAUGGUGAUGAUGAUGAGUCUUAUCAAGUGCAUAGCAAGAAGGAUAAGAAAGGAAAGGGCAAGAAGAACGACAACGACAAAUAUGCCGCCGUAUCCUUUAACUAUUCUUCUAUGUCUAUGACUAACCAUGAUCGCAUGUCUUUUAUUAAUGUGCCCGCAGGGAAGUUACCUCAUUUUGAUGGGACAAACUUUGCCAAGUGGAAGCACUUGAUGAGAGCUUAUCUUAUAGGUCUCCACCCCGGCAUUUGGGAGGUUGUUUGCAAUGGGUUUGAGUCACCAGUUGAUCCCAAGAACCCAACAUUAGAAGAGAUGAGAAUCAUUCACCUCAAUGGUCAAGCCACAAGUGUGUUGCUUAGUGCUUUAGAUGGUGAUGAGUACAAUAGAGUGAUUGGUGUUGACAUUGCAAAGCAAAUAUGGGAUACUUUGCACCUUGCACAUGAAGGAGUUGACAAAGUAAGGAAGGCAAGAAUUGAUUUGAUGAUGGCCAAGCUGAACCGGUUUGUUAUCUUGGACGGAGAAGGGCCACAAGAGAUGUUUGAUAGUUUGAUGUCCUUGGUGGGCAAGAUUAGAGGCUAUGGUUGUAAUGAGUUAGAUGAUCAUAAAGUUGUCAAGAUUAAGUUGGAAGCUUAUUCACCAAGAAAUGAGACCGUAGUUGUCGACAAGAGCUUGUGGCAGUCUACCUUGGGGUAUACCCACGGUAGUAGUUUGUCGGUAGACAGUGCGCAAACUACGAACUCGAUGGUGACGCAAGACACGGACAAGCUUUAUAUCCAGGUUCGGCCGCCGAGUUGGCGUAAUACCUACGUCCUGCGUCUGAUUGUAUUGAUUUGUGUUGAGAGAAUAAUGAUGUCCUAGGGGGGUCCCUUGCCUCUCCUUAUAUAGUCCGGAGGGCAGGGUUACAGAUCUAGAAAUUAAUCCUAGUCGGUUACAAUUGCCAUAGAUAGUUCGAUAUCAAUUUCUAUUCUAACCGACUAGAAUCCUGCUUGAUCUCCACGCCUUGUUUCCUUGCAUGAAACUCCAAGCUAUCGGAUCAAGGCUCGAACUUGUCUCGUAAUGGGCCAAGCCUCCUGGCCCAAGUCUAGCUGUAAGGGUAUAGGGGUUUAUACCCCCACAGCUAGUCCCCGAGCACCAUGUAUUGUGAAGUAACACGCCGUCUUGAGCUUCUUCGGCCAGUGAAACUUGACGUCUUCAAUUAGCAUGGAAGUUGCCCCAACAGUUGCAACGGUAUUUUGACCAAACCUAAAGACAUUUGAUCAACAUCAUCAUCGAAGAAGCCAGUUGUUCGAAGAAUGCAUGGUGCUCUAGAGAAAAAAUAUUUCUUUUCCGAUGAAGUGUGCCCACUUUACUUUUCUGUACAGCAAAGUGUGCCAUAAAACAAGCAAAUUCACCGCAAGGUGAAGUGUGCCCACUUAGUCCCCGAGCCUGGCAGUAGGUGAAGUAGGCACGUGGUGCCAGGGUUAAAAGAAAAGUCCUCAAAGAGAUUUCGAAACUGAGAUGCAUCGCUAGAUGCAUCGUACCGAUGUAGUCCCCGAGCUUGCUGGAAGGCGAAGUAUGAACCUUGUAGCAAGGUCUAAAAAAUUAAAAUUAUCCAGUCCCCGAGCAUCUCAUACUCGUUUACUAUCGGAUAGACCUAUCAAUUUGGUGGGCUGGACGACCAGUCCCCGAGCGUACAAUGCUCGGUGAUCGGUACAGCCCCCAGAUUCCCGAGCUAACAGACUGGGCGAUCAGUCCCCGAGCAUACAAUACUCGGUGAUCAAUGCAGUCCCCAGAUUACCGAGCUAGCAGACUGGGCGACCAGUCCCCGAGCAUAUAGUGCUCGGUGGUCGGUGCAGUCCCUGGAUUUCCGAGUUGACAGACUGGGCGACCAGUCCCCGAGCAUACAGUGCUCGAUGGUCGGUGCAGUCCCUAGAUUUCCGAGUUGACAGACUGGGCGAUCAGUCCCCGAGCAUAGUGUGCUCGGUGGUCGGCACAGUCCACAGGAAUGUUGACCCUCCACCAAUUUUUGUCUGUUUAUUUUGAAAAUAUCUUACCACGUAAAUGAUUGACGUGACGAGACCUCCUGACGUAAUGUUAGAUGGUUGCGUGAAAAGUUGCACCUGGUAACUGUGCAGCCGCCCUUUACGCGAUUUGAGAAAAGGAAACCAUCAAUUAUACGGAAAGGCCGCCGCAUUAAAUGCCGAUAAUUAUUGAAAACCGAAGCGCCACGUCCGCCGUUGGGCCUGCCCACUUCCCAAGAAUGCGGGAAGUGGGAGGGGUGGAGUUGUGAUUUAUAAAAUCCUGACAGUACCCCUGCAUUGCUUACCCUGCCAUUGCCUUCAAGCUUUCUGCUCUCGCCUUCUACAACCACCUGAACCCUCCUAGCUCGCAGUCACUCCUGCAUCGCCAAUGGCGAAGAGCGACUCCAAGAAGAGGGCCGAGCUGAUGGCCAAGGAAUGGAAAAAGUCCCGAAGCACUGUGAAGUCCCUCAGUGACCUCGUCAACAUGGGGCUACUGCACAGCCCAGAGCUCGGCGGCUGGAGUGCGCCAGAGGGGGAGAGCUACCCCGACCCCCACGCCGGUGAGAUUGUAGUGUUCGAAGAUUUUCUCAAGAGGGGUUUUGGGGUUCCUGUCCAUUCUUUUCUUCAGGGGCUUCUCUUGUACUAUGAGAUCGGGAUCUGCAAUUUGCACCCGAACUCAAUCCUGCUCAUCUCCACUUUCAUUCAUCUAUGCGAGGCCUAUGUUGGCAUAGAGCCGCACUUCGAUCUUUUCCGUUAUCUUUUCUGUUUAAGGAAGAAGGGAGCGGUUGGAGGCUCCAAGAUUGUAGGUGGAGUAUACCUCAAUCUUCGUGACAGGAUGAAGAACCGGUAUCUAAGCUGCCCAUGGAACACUUCACUCACCGAAUGGUACAGGAAGUGGUUCUACGUCAGGGAAGAGCCGGGCAGCUCCACGUUCUGUGACGUGGGGUACAUCCCCGAGAAAAGGGUCAGUUGGACCGACCGCCCAGAGUUCACCGGCCAAGUAGUGGACCUGAUGAAGCUGAUCGACUGGUUGCGUUUGGACGGGCUAGGAGUGGUCGGCAACUUCGUUUGUCGUCGGGUGAUGCGCUGCCAGAAGAGGGUGCACUCGGCGUACGAGUACGCUGGAAGCCAGGACCCGACUAGGAUGACGCCUGAGAUCUUGGAGAAGGCGGAGGUGCAGCAGCUGUUGAACGAGCUGUUCAACUUUGCGGACGGGAGCUUCAUCCGUGGUAGUGAUCUGGUGCAGGCCUUCAAGCUGGGGCGACCAGCUCCUAAGGUAACGUUACUUACUGAUUGUGCCUCCUUAGUUUUUGUUCUUUCCAGCUGCUGACUUGUCUUUGUUACUUUUGCAGAUUGGAGACGUUGACCGGUGCAAAGUGUACGUGUCACUGGCACCCGGGAUGGAGAACCCCGCGGGGGAAGAUCCGUCGGAGGAUGACGCUGCUCGGUGUGCUCGGUACACCAGCAGUGAGGAGGAGCAGGCCCGCCCCGCCCCGACCACCGAGGACAGGGUGGCGGGGAAAAGGCCGAUGGCGGCAGACCCCUCCCCCAUAGAGAUGCUGUCGGCGGAGAGCAGUCAGGCGCCGAAGCGCCGUCGACUCGUCCGGAUCACCGAUGACGAUGACGAGGAGGAGGAGGGCGCGCCUUCUCUGGUCCGGAGACCGCGCAGUCGACCGGACGUAGCGCCGGCCACCACUGAUCGGGUGGCCAGCGACCCUCCUGCACCGCGCGUCGCAGAGACGGGAGCGUAGGCGCCAACCGGUAGGACCAGGAGGAGGUUCACCGCAACACACCGGCGAUCUGACCUGUAAGUGUUUAACUUUCGUACUGCGAUGUUUUUUUACUGUCACUGACAUUGUUUAAAUGUCGUUUUUGUUUUUUAGCACGGCGUCGGACAUCAACCCCGACCAGGUCGCUGAACAGAGGACGGCCGAGCCUAUUGCCGCCGUUGGAGACGCCGCGCCACAGGCCACGGAGCAGCCUACGGCGGCGGCCACUGCUACGGCCGUCGAGGAAAAACCGGCCCCGGUGAGUGCCACAGCGAGCACUGCGCCGAGGGAUGAAGAGGCAGCAAGGACCCCUCCCCCGAGUACUGGUGCGGAGGAGGAAGGCAGAGUCCCGACUCCUCCAGCCGGAGAAGGGAGAGUCCCAACACCGCCCCGAGCAGGGGCCUCUUCGCCCGUAGGCUCCCCUGGUCUGGAACAGGGGCCAGUGAUGCCCACGACCACGGCCAGAGGUAGUGCGGCAAACGAGGAGCCCCAGGUGGCCUCUGACGACGACGUGGAGGAGAUCCAGGGUCAUUCCCGUGACGGCUGCCAGCACGUCUACGUGUGGCGCCAACGCGGGGACCACUUUAUUGGACACGAGGAGCUCGCGGCGACGGAAGAGGCCGCGAGGGUGGAACGCGCGGCCAAGCAUCUCGUGGACGAGGUUAAGGUAAGUGGUCCUGUGUGCUGCUUGACAAUUAUGUGUAGUGCUCCUGUGUUCGACAUAUGUUCUUCUUUGGAGGGCGCGAUGAAAACGGCGAAGUACCGGAAACGGUGCUUCGACCAAAUCGAGGGCAUUGUGGCCGAGAACAAGGCCUUGUCCACGGAGGUGGACCGGCUGCGGUCAGAAGUUGGUGAGAAGGUGGCCGAGAUGAGUGCUCAGGAAGAGUGCCGUCUCGAGCUUACUCGGCAUUUAGCCGAUCAGUAUCGGCAGAGGACAGGUCAGUUGCACACUCCGAGCAGCUGCAUAUAGCCGUGUGAUUAGUUCUGCUGACCAGGAAAGUGUUCUUGUAGACUUGGAGGAAGAGGUUGAGCGCCUCCAACAAGAGAAAGAGCAGCUCGGCCGAGAGCUUGCCAGGGCGCGAGAGGCUGGGUGCCGAGCAGGGGAGGAGCUAGGCCAGAGGAACCGGGAGUUGUCUGGUAAUAACCGUGCCGCCCCUCGUUAUUUGGCUGCUCAACGUUACUUUCAUUGUGCUUAGACUGACCUCUUGCUUGAUUUGUAGUGCUCAAGGUGAAUACCAAGAAGCACUUGGACGAGCUGGUCAAGGAUCGGGACUCCUGGAAGACUAACUGCAUUAGGCUUUGGAAAGGAGUAGCCCCAGUCCUGGACUUGAUCAGCCCCGAGCUUCCAGAAGACCAGCCCCGCGCGCUGAAACUAACUCCAGUCGAGAAGGCGCAACGGGCGUGGGAUUGGAUCCAGCAGUUCGUGAAGGACGCCGGGGAGUUCGCCGGCGCGCAUGUCGCAUGCCCACUAUCCCCUGGUCGACUUGUCCAGGCUAGAGAGGGGGUACCCCAAGGAAGUCGGCCCGCAGGAGGCGGACGACCUUCGGGCUGGUCUGCUAGACUUGUCGUCGACGGUGAUCGGUGACAUCAACCUAUGCGGGACGGCCACUCCCCCCAACCAGCCGGGUUCAGACAGGUCAGCCAGGGAGUUGUCGGGGGCGUCUAUUGCCGGAGAUGGGCAGUCGACGCCUGCGGUCUCGACCAGCCAGGCGCCGGUGGCCCCGACCCCUUCGUCCGGGCAGCAAGGCCAGGCGGGUGAUUAGCCCGAGCAGUAGGCCAGUAGGAUAGUCUGUAGGAGUAGACUAGUGACCGUCCGUCAGGGUGUUUAUUGUAAACCUUGUAUGUAAAGUUUGUAAUAAAGUUUGAUUUUGUCAUGACCAUUAUUUUGAGCGCUGUAAAGUUAUCUGAGUGAUGUAUCACUGUGUUUGAUUCAUAGUCGUUAAGAAUCUCCGUCGCAGAGGACAUUGUUGUUCUCGUCGAAGGCUCCGCGUGUAAACAAAGUGUAGCAAAAAAGGAAAACUUUUAUUAUUGCCAAUUAUAAGAAACUUCCAAGCAAAAGUUAUUGGAACUUAUGGAUAAAACGGCGCAGUUUGUCUAUGUGCCAAGAAUUAGGCACGCGUGUUCCGUCCGGAUACGCCAGUCUGUAGGAUGCGGGACGUGUGACUUCGGCGACCACAAAGGGUCCUUCCCAGGGGGUGGAUAGCUUGUGCAUUCCUUCCUGGCUUGUUUUCCACCUGAGUACCAGAUCGCCGACCACGAAAGAACGGUCCUUGACGUUCCUGUUGUGGUACCGUCUGAUGGCUGCAAGAUACCUUGCUGUUCGAAGGCAUGAAUUUAGAAGCUUUUCCUCCAUGCAGUUGAUUUCAAGCUCCCUGGUGUUGUCGGCCGUUGACUGGUCAAAGUUUGCAACUCUUGGAGACCUGAAGGUUAUAUCAGACGGCAGCACUGCCUCGGUGCCGUAAACCAUGAAGUAGGGUGACACCCCGGUGUUUCGACUAGCCUGUGUUCGGAGACCCCAGACCACAGCCGGUAACUCUUUCAUCCAUCGACCAGGUGCUCUGUCAUUCUCGGUGUACAACCUUUUCUUUAGGGCGUCAAUGAUCAUUCCGUUCGCACGCUCGACUUGGCCAUUUGCUCGUCGGUGAGCUACUGACAUGUAUUUUAUGACUAUGCCUCUGUCAUCGCAGAAGUCCCAAAAUGUGGUGCCAGUGAACUGAGUACCCAGGUCGGUGAUUAUACUGUUUGGGAUCCCGAAUCUGUGUAUGAUUUGAUUGAGGAACUCCACAGCCUUCUCGGAGGUUGCUUUGACCAGUGGCAUGUAUUCGAUCCACUUUGAGAACUUGUCGAUUAAUACGAAGACGAACUUGAAGUUGCCGGGGGCCGGUUUAAAUGGCCCGAUCAUGUCGAGCCCCUAGCAGGCGAAAGGCCAGGAUGACGGGAUAGUUUGAAUCUCAUGAGCAGGUACGUGGGUACUUUUGGCGUAGAACUGACAUCCCUCACAAUGUCGGACCAGUUUUUCUACGUCGGUGACCGCGGUUGGCCAGUAAAAACCUGCUCGGAAAGCCUUCCCGACCAGCGUUCUGGAGGCAGCAUGGUUGCUGCAGGAUCUGACGUGUAUGUCGUCUAGGAGCUUGAUGCCAUCAUCUUGGGAUAUGCAUUUGAGCAGCACUUCAGAACUUGCAUUUUUUCGCAUAAGUUUGCCGUCCACCAGUAUGUAAUUCUUUGAUCGUCGAAUGAGGCGCUCGUUCUCUGUUUUAUCCUAAAAGCCUGACCAGUCCGAUAUAUAUCUGAUGAACGGGGUGCGCCAAUCACGGCUACUGGUUGUCGGAGUAGCGUCGUCUAUGAGCAUUGCCUCAAUAGGUUGCUUUUCGACCAGGUCUGUGCCCACACUUGGCUCAUGGAUGUCCUGGACGAAAACACCUCGCGGGAUCUGGGCCCGAGAUGACCCUAAGUUUGACAACGCAUCCGCUGCCUGGUUCUUAUCCUGGACCACGUGGAUGUACUCUAUGCCGUAGAAGUUGGUUUCCCAUUUGCGAAUUUCUUUGCAGUAGAGAUCCAUCUUCUCGUUGGUUGCGUCCCAUUCCUUAUUGAGCUGGUUGAUAACUAAAGCGGAGUCACCAUAGACGUAGAGGCGUUUGACUCCUAACUCAACGGCUAGUCGUAUGCCGUGCAGGCAUGCUUCGUACUCGGCGACGUUGUUUGAUGCCAGAAAAAAGAUCCUAAGGACGUAACGCAGUUUGUCCUUGUUAGGCGACACGAAAAGUAUCCCAGUGCCGGCGCCGUUGAUGUUCAAGGACCCGUCGAAGAACAUUGACCAGUGGUCGGAGACGUCGGAAACGGGAGGCUCGUUGAGAUCCGUCCACUCUGCGAUGAAAUCGACCGGGGCCUGAGACUUGACUAUGGUACGGCUCUGAAAAUCCAGGGAAAAUGGGCAUAAUUCCAUUGCCCAUUUUACGAUUCUGCCGUUGGCGUCUUUAUUGCGCAGAAUAUCCCCAAGGGGAAAACUAGUGGUUACCAAGAUCCGAUGGCCAUCGAAGUAGUGCUUUAGCUUCCUCGAUGUUAUUAGAAUGGCGUAUAUGAGCUUCUGUAUUUGUGGGUAUCUGGCCUUGGACUCGUUGAAGACUUCGCUUAUGAAAUAAACGGGUCUCUGGACCUUGUAGACGUGGCCUGGCUCGUCUCGCUCGACCACUAUUGCCGUGGAGACGACCCUGUCGGUUACUACGAUGUAAAGAAGUAGGUCUUUAUUGGGCCGAGGCGCUGUGAGAACGGGCGGUGAGGUGAGGAAAGUCUUGAGCUGGGUGAACGCAGCGUCAGCUUCCUCUGUCCAGGAGAAAUUUUCCAACGCCUUCAAGAGUUUGAAGAAGAGGAGGCCUUUUUCUCCUAGUCUGGAGAUGAAGCGGCUGAGGGCGGCCAUACAUCCGGUGAGCUUCUGAAUGUCCUUGACAUUCUUGGGUGGUCGCAUAUCGAGCACUGCUUUGACUUUUGAGGGAUUCGGUCGUAUGCCGUCGCGGCUGACGACGUUGCCGAGUAGUAGACCGGAAGGGACCCCAAAGAUGCACUUUUGGGACUGAGCUUCCACUUAUAUUUGUUUAGUGCCUUGAAGGUUCGGUCUAAGUUGUCGAUUAGGGUGCUUGCAGCCCUUGUUUUGACGACGACGUCGUCUACAUAAGCCUCGACAAGGUCAUCACGAAUCUCGUCAUGGAGGCAUUGCUGGAUGGCCCUUUGAUAGGUGGCUCCGGCGUUUUUGAGUCCGAAGGACAUGGUCGUGUAGCAGUAUACGCCGAAAGGAGUAAUGAAAGACGUUUUGAUCUGAUCGUCUUCCUUUAGCGAGAUCUGGUGAUAACCAGAGUAGCAAUCUAGAAAAGAGAGGAGUUCGCAUCCGGCCGUUGAGUCGACCACCUCGUCGAUGCGAGGGAGACCAAAAGGAUCUUUAGGACAGUGUUUAUUGAGAUCAGUGUAAUCAACGCACAUUCUCCAUUCAUUAUUCUUUUUGCGUACAAGAACCGGAUUGGCGAGCCAAUCGGGAUGAUACACUUAUUUUAUGAAUCCGGCUGCUAGAAGCCAUGUUAUUUCUGUCCUAAUAGCCUCCUUUUUGUCACGAGUGAACCGUCGCAGCUUUUGCUUGAUGGGUCUUGCGGUCUUCGAGACAUUUAAGGAGUGCUCGAUCAGGUUUCAUGGGACGCCGGGCAUGUCUGCGGGUUUCCAUGCGAAAACGGUUACGUUGUCCCUGAGAAACCUGACGAGCGUGUCUUCCUAUUUAGGGUCCACGUUGGCCCCGAUGAGGGCUGUCUUCUCGGGGCUGCCUUCGACCAGCUAUACUUCCUUGUACUCCUUGGAUUUUGAAUUCUUCCUGGCGGUCUCCUGCUCGGGUAGUCGGAGCUGGUCGGGAGGUAGCUGUGCAGCUUGGGUUGCUGUUUCUGCCAUGCGAAUUGAGAGAUCAAUUGCUUCAGUGAUCUUGAAGCUCUCCUCCUCGCAAGUAUAUGCAGUGUAGACAUUGCGCCUGACGGUUAGGACGCCCUUCUCCGUAGGCAUUUUGGGGACCAGGUAUGAGUAAUGUGGGACUGCCAUGAACUUUGUCAGCGAUGGUCGGCCCAGUAUAGCGUGGUAAGUCCCAUCAAAGUCGGCGACCACAAAGUUGACGAACUCUGUUCGAAAGUGGUCGGACGUGCCAAAUUGGACAGGCAGUGUUAUCUGUCCGAGGGGCAUUGAACUCUGACCUGGCAGGACUCCCCAGAAUUGAGCGUUAUAGGGUUUUAGCUGUGCCGGAGAUAUCUUGAGAGUGGGCAGGCUGUUGCGAAAGAGGAUGUCAAUGGAACUUCCUCCGUCCACGAGCACUCGCUCGAAUCUGAUGCUGUUGAUGCAAGGGUCCAAGAUUAGAGGGAAGCGACCUGGCUCCGGGAUAGCGGCCCACUGAUCCUUCCUACUGAAGGAGAUUUCCCUGUGUGACCAGGGAGGAAAUUUCGGGUCUGCGAUCAGGCCAUCCGUGCUGUCUAUGUUGAGGCAGGCUCUCUUUAAGAGCUUUCUUUCUCGCUUAGAUUCGAUGGAGACCUUGCCCCCAAAGAUGGAGUGGACCACAUCGGUGGGACUGACAUACUGGUGUCGUGGGUCCCUAUCCUAGUCCUCGUCCUCGUCUUCGUGAUCGCGCCCGUCUUGUUUCCCAUUUUUAUUGGCGAGGUCGUCUUGAGCAGCCCGCCGUGUAUAGAUGCUUUUGAGGACGCGGCAUUCUUCCAUGGUGUGGCUGGACUUUGGAUGCAGUUGGCAUGGUCCCUUCAACGUCUUGUUGUAGUCUUCUUGGUAGUCCCGCUGCCUGUUGGGGCGCUUGACUGUAUUCACUUCGUGGUCGCGGUCGCAGGGGCGCUUUCCUCUGAAAUCGUCGCGAUUGUCGCGCCGCCUGUCCCAACCUUCCUUGUGAUCGCGGUUGUCGGGGCGACGAUGGUUCCUGUUGUCGAAGCGACCACGACUAUCAUCUCGCCGAGGAGGCUGGUCGGGACCUCUCGCAUCGUCCCGGAUGAGUUUUUCUGCAUCGUCGGCGUCGGCGUAAUUUUUAGCCGUGGCGAGGAGCUCGGCCAUCGUUGUUGGCCUUUUGCGCAACAGCUUGUUCCUCAGUGCUUCAUGGAAGCGCAGCCCCUUGAUGAAAGCAGAUAUGGCCUCGUCGUGGGAAAUCUUUGGGAUCUUGAGGCGCAUAUCCGAGAAUCGGAUGUAAUCGCGCAGAGGCUCGUUUUUCCUGUCCCUUAUCCUUUCGAGGUCGUACUUGUUCCCAGGCUGCUCGCAUGUGGCGAUGAAGUUGGCGAUGAAAGCCUGGCGUAGUUCUUCCCAAGAGUCGAAAGAGUCCUCAGGCAGGCCAUGGAGCCACUGGUGACCAGCCUAGUCGAGGACUACUGGGAAGUAGUUGGCCAUGACGUGCUUGUCUCCUGCUGCUGAUCGGACGGCGAUCUCAUAAAGAGUGAUCCAGUUCUCUGGGUUUUCCUUACCGUCGUAUUUUUUGAGUUUGUCGAGCUUGAAAUUGCAGGGCCACACGACCUGGCGGAGGUGUGAAGUGAACUGUCUCAGGCCCGGGGGACCGUGCGUUGCAUCGUACUCAAUACGACGCAGGUUCUCGUGAACUGCCAUUUCUGUGGCGCGCCUGUUGAUGCGGUCCCGGGCGUCCUUGGGAGGGAUGUUGUAUCGAAGAUCCCUAUGUUGGUUUACUUCUUGACCACGCCCGCGAUUCUGCCCGCGGUGACCGCCAGCGUCCCGACCGCCGUCGUCACGCCGUGAAUCUUUUCAAUGAUUGUUGGGGGAACGGCUGCGGUGGUGCCUGCUGGGCUGUGGUGAGGUCCGGCUGCGAUGGGUCUGGUCGGAGGAGACCUCUGUGUAGGAGAUAGCUUGGACUCUUUUGAGGAGAGUGGCUGUCUGUCCUAUUGCGGCGAUCAGAUGUGCUCGGACGCUAGAUCGGAUGCCCUGGCAUUCGGGAGUGUCAGGGAGUCGAUCUAAAUUGGCCAUGGCGAUGGCCACAUUAGUGCUUGGCGUUUUGUAGACUGGCUGAUCCCCGACCAUGUCGAAAGCGUCGGUGAGAUUAUGCGGCGGUAGUUGGCGUUCCUCAUCCGCGCGUCGUCGGGCGCGGUCGGCAUUGCGCUGCUCGCGGAGCUGCCUCUGCUCAUCUGUUUCUCCAUCAACAGCUGGCUCGUCGGCGCUGACGUUGAAAACGAUGUCUCCUCGCCGGGGUGGUAAGACCGGGAAACGAGAGAAACCCGGAGGAUAUGGAGGCAAUUCUAGGUCGUAGUCCUCGUCCUCGGAGUUUAUGACUUCAGUGGGAACAGAACCAGUGCUCGAAUUUGUACUGGAAGCCUGGCCGUCCCGUAGUUCUCGGAUCGUCACCAUGUUGACAUAGUGACGAGCUGGUCGACCGCUCCACUUUGGCAGCCAACCUGCCUCGUUGAAAAGGGGUUGGAUGUGCCGUGAGUAGAGAGAGGCCAAGUUGUUCAGACCGCAAGGAUAACCUUCCUCCGGAUCAGCCUUGAUCUUGACGGACCGUCCCGAGGGGGUGGAGGUUAUCGUCAGAGACGUCCCCAGCUGUUCGUGUGUGACGACACGAGUUGGCCGGUAGGAGUUGGAAAAAUCCAUUAGUGUGGCUUGAUCAGGUUGACGCGAGAUCCCAUCUACUAGUUGGGAUGCUUCGAGAAGCUUGGAAUCAGCGCGAUCAAGUGCUCGGAGAAGAUCCGAGCCGUCGAUCUUCUUUCCCUUGUAACGCGGGAGUGGUGGUCGGGUGCUCGGUGCCAGCAUCCAUGUGGUCGGAGCCGAUGCCGCCGUCAUCCCAGAUUGGAUCUGGGUUCCUUCCGAAAUCGUGGUCGUGAGACCGCCGCCAUGCGUCGUCCACGUGAUCUGGCCUACGGUGAACGUGAGGCCUUCAGGCACGGCCACGGAAGCUGGGACGAUGACCAUCUUGUUCGCUGGAGAAGUUGUACGCACACCCCCUACCUGGCGCGCCACUGUCAACGAGAGCUGGUCGGCAGUCUACCUUGGGGUAUACCCACGGUAGUAGUUUGUCGGUAGACGGUGCGCAAACUACGAACUCGAUGGUGACGCAAGACACGGACAAGCUUUUUAUCCAGGUUCGGCCGCCGAGUUGGCGUAAUACCUACGUCCUGCGUCUGAUUGUAUUGAUUUGUGUUGAGAGAAUAUUGAUGUCCUAGGGGGUCCCUUGCCUCUCCUUAUAUAGUCCGGAGGGCAGGGUUACAGAUCUAGAAAUUAAUCCUAGUCGGUUACAAUUGCCAUAGAUAGUUCGAUAUCAAUUUCUAUUGUAACCGACUAGAAUCCUGCUUGAUCUCCACGCCUUGUUUCCUUGCAUGAAACUCCGAGCUAUAAGAUCAAGCCUCGAACUUGUCUCGUAAUGGGCCAAGCCUCCUGGCCCAAGUCUAGCCGUAAGGGUAUAGGGGUUUAUACCCCCACAGUAGUCACUCUAAUUAGAGACAAGAAGAAGUUUGUGUACUUCACACCAAAUGAUGUACUUGGGAGGAUUUUGAAAUUUGAUAUGCAAAGAGAAGAAGCCAAUGAAAGAAAGAAGCUUGGUGAGCUGCAAGCAAAGCUAGAAGGCAUCAAGAUCAAUGAUGAUGUAGCUCUCAAAGCCAACAAGUCAACCAAACGAUCCUCUACAAGCAAGUCUAAGUCCAACAAGCAAGCAUCAACUAGCAAGACCAAAGCACCAAAGCAAGUCAAAGAAGUAGAGACAACAUCAUCAUCAAGUGAAGAUAAAAGUGAUAGUGAACAAUAUGAGAAAGUGCAAGAUAUUGCUCUCUUUUUGAGAAGAUAUCAAAAGGGACUCAAAAAGCAAGGCUACAAGGUAGUGAAGAGGAAGUUCCCAAACAAGAAGAAGAGGCUAUGCUACAAUUGUGGAAGCACCGAACAUCUCAUUGCUCAUUGUCCUCAUGAAAUUGAAGACAACAAUUACAAGAGAGACAAGAAAGAGAGCAAGACCGACUACAAAAAGAGCAAAAGACACAUGGGAGAAGCUCACAUUGGACAUGAAUGGUACUCAACAAAAGAUAGCUCAAGUGAGUGAUAAAAGGGAAAAUGAUCCAAAAGGGCCUCAAUUCAAGCAAGGGAGACAUCCCUUAAUCAAGCAUGGGCUUGGACACACAAUAGGAGCCAAGACAAAUGGAAGAAAGAUAAUCAAUGGCUAUGAGUGUGUCAAGUUUGAAAGGAAGGGCAAAAUUGGUGUAGAGCGGCCUGCACAGAUUGUGACAGUACAACGUCCCCGAGUGGUAGUGCCACAUAGUGGCAAUACCAUUAUGAAGGGCGGUAAUGUCACACCCCGCAAAAAUGGGAAGGCUACCAAUUUUGUUCCUAAUCAAACUAAGCCCAAAAAGAAAGUGACAUACAAGGAAAAGAAGAUUUCCCAGAAGCCAAAGGAAUUAAUAUGGGGAACUCCAAACAAGUAUGCUUAUCAACUAAUUGUCCAUGCACCUCGACAAAGCUUGUCAUCAUGCUUUGUGUUGAAAAGUAACAACCGUGGUGAAGUUGUUGCUUAGUAUGUUGGCAAGGAGACCAAUGUCUACAAGAAUACUUCCAUUUGGGUUCCUAAGAUACUUGUGACUAACAUGCAAGGCCCCAAGUCUAUUUGGGGACCUAAAUCUAGCAAGUAAACUUGUUUUGCAGGCAUACUCCUCCGGUGGAUCAAGUUGGGUUCUUGAUAGUGGAUGUACAAAUCAUAUGACCGGAGAAAGGAGUAUGUUUCAAUCAUAUACCCCAAAGGUGGACUCAAAUGAUAAUAUUGUCUUUGGAGACAAUUCUAAGGGGGAUGUGCUUGGUCUCGGUAAAGUUGCCAUAACCCUUGAGCAUUCAAUUACAAAUGUUUUGCAUGUUGAUUCAUUGAGCUACAAUUUGUUAUCCGUUUCUCAAUUGUGUGGUUGGACUUUGGAUGUAGUUGGCAUGGUCCCUUCAACGUCUUGUUGUAGUCUUCCUGGUAGUCUCGCCGCCCAUUGGGACGCUUGACCGUAUUCACCUCGUGGUCGUGGUUGUGAGGGCGCUUGCCUCUGAAGUCAUCACGAUUGUCACGCGGCCUAUCCCAACCUUCUCUGUGGUCACGGUUGCCGGGGCGACGAUGGCUCCUGUUGUCGAAGCGACCACGACCGUCAUCUCGUCGAGGGAGCUGGUCGGGUCCUCUCGCAUCAUCCCGGAUGAGCUUCUCUGCAUCAUCGGCGUCGGCGUAAUUUUUAGCCGUGGCGAGGAGUUCGGCCAUCGUCGUCGGCCUUUUGCGCAAUAGCUUGUUCCUCAGUGCUUCGUGGAAACGUAGCCCCUUGAUGAAAGCAGAUAUGGCCUCGUCGUGAGAGAUUUUCGGGAUUUUAAGACGCAUAUCCGAGAAUCGUCGGAUGUAAUCGCGCAGAGGCUCGUUUUUCCUGUCCCUUAUCCUCUCGAGGUUGUACUUGUUCCCAGGCUGCUCGCAGGUAGCGAUGAAAUUGUCGAUAAAUGCUUGGCGUAGUUCUUCCUAGGAGUCGAAAGAGUCCUCGGGCAGGCCUAGGAGCCACUGAUGACCAGCCUGGUCGAGGACGACUGGGAAGUAGUUGGCCAUGACGUGCUCAUCUCCUGCUGCUGAACGAACUACGAUCUCAUAGAGAGUGAUCUAGUUUUCUGGGUUCUCCUUGCCGUCGUAUUUUUUGAGUUUCUCGAGCUUGAAGUUGCGGGGCCACACGACCUGGCGAAGGUGUGAGGAAAAUUGUCUCAGGCCGGGAGGACCGUGUGUGGCGUCGUACUCAAUGCGACGUAGGUUUUCGUGCACUGCUCUUUCCGUGGCGUGCCUGUUAAUGCGGUCCCGGGCGUCCUUGGGAGGGAUGUUGUGUCGUAGGUUCCUGUCCUGGUUCACUUCCUGGCCACAGCCACGAUUCUACUCGCGGUAGCCACCGGCGUCCUGACCACCGUUAUCGCGUCAUGAACCCCUCCGACGAUUAUUGGGGGAGCGGCUAUGGUGGUGCUCGCUGGGUUGUGGUGAGGUCUGGCUGCGAUGAGUGUGGUCGGAGGAGACCUCUGUACAGGAGAUAGCUUGGACUCUUUUGAGCAAGGAGGUCGUCUGUGCCAUCGCGGCGAUCAGAUGUGCGCGUACGAAGGACCAGACAACCUGGCACUCGGGAGUAUGAGGGAGUCGGUCUAGGUUUGCCAUAGCAACAGCCACGUUAGCACUUGGCGUCUUGUAGACUUGCUGAUCUCUGACCAUGUCGAAAGCAUCACUGAGGUUAUGUGGUGGGAGUUGUCGUUCCUCAUCUGCGCGACGCCGGGCACGGUCGGCAUUGCGCUGUUCGCGGAGCUGCCUCUGCUCGUCUGUCUCUCCAUCGAUGACCGGUUCGUCGUUGCUGACAUUGAAGACGAGAUCUCCCCACCGAGGCAGAAAGACCGGGAAGCGAGAGAAACCCGGAGGGUACGGUGGUAAUUCCAGGUCGUAAUCCUCGCCCUCAGAGUUUAUAACCUCAGUGGGAACAGAUCCGGUGCUGGAGUUUGUGCUGGAAGCCUGGUCGUUUGGUAGUUCUUGAAUCGUCACCAUGUUGACGUAGUGAUGAGCUGGUCGACUGCUCCGUUUUGGCGACCUACCUGCCCUGUUAAAAAGGGAUUGGACGUGUCGUGAGUAGCAGGCGGCUGAGUUGUUGAGCUCGUAAGGGGAAUUCUGGACUGGGCCUGCCUUGAGUUCAACAGACCGCCCGGAGGGGGUGGAAGUUAUUUUUAGAGACAUCUCCAGCCGUUCGUGUGUGAUGACACGAGUUGGCCGGCGGGAGUUAAAAAAGUCCGUCGGCGCGACUUGAUCCGAUUGGCGCGAGAUCACAUCUACUAGUGUGGAAGCUUCGAGGAGGUUGAGAUUGGCGCGAUCAAGGGCUUGGAAAAGAUCCGAGCCGUCGACCUACCUUCCCUUGUAACGAGGGAGCGGUGGUCGAGUGCUCGGUGUCGACGUGGUCGGAGUCGACGCCGCUAUUGUCCCAGAUCGGAUCUGGGUUUCUUCCGAAGUCAUGGUCGUAAGGCCGCCGCCACGAGUCGUCCACGUGAUCUGGCCGACGGUGAACGUGAGGCCUUCAGGUACGGCUGCGGAAGCUAGAACGAUGACCAUCUUGUUCGCCGAGAGAGCUGUACGCACACCCCCUACCUAGCGCGCCACUGUCGACGAAAGUUGGUCGGCAGUCUACCUUGAGGUAUACCCACGGUAGUAGUUUAUCGGUAGACAGUGCGCAAGCUACGAACUCGAUGGUGACGCAAGACACGGACAAGCUUUUUAUCCAGGUUCGGCCGCCGUGUGGGCGUAAUACCUACGUCCUGUGUCUGGUUGUAUUGAUUUGUGUUGAGAGAAUAAUGUGUCCUAGGGUGGUCCCUUGCCUCUCCUUAUAUAGUCCAGAGGGCAGGGUUACAGAUCUGGAAACUAAUCCUAGUCGGUUACAAUUGCCAUAGAUAGUACGAUAUCAAUUCCUAUUCUAACCGACUAGAAUUCUACUUCAUCUCCACGUCAUGUUUCCUUGCGCGAAGCUCCAAGCAGUUGGAUCAAGUCUCGGACUUGUCUUGUAAUGGGCCAAGCCUCCUGGCCCAAGUCUAGCCGUGAGGCGGUGAGGGUAUAGGGGUUUACACCCCCACAGAUGGGUUACAAUUGUCUCUUUACGGAUAAGGGUGUGGAAGUCUUUAGAAGGGAGGAUUCCUCUAUUGUCUUUACAGGUCGAUUAAAGAAUAAGCUUUACCUAGUUGAUUUCAACAAAAGUAAAGCUAAUCUUGAGACCUGUUUAGUGGCAAAAUCUAGCAUGGGUUGGCUUUGGCAUCGCUGACUAGCCCAUGUUGGGAUGAGGAACUUGGCCAAACUUCAAAAGGAUGAACACAUUCUUGGACUAACAAAUGUUCACUUUGAGAAAGAUAGGAUAUGUAGAGCUUGUCAAGCUAGAAAGCAAGUUGGCGUACCUCACCCACCAAAGAACAUCAUGAACACCACACAACCAUUGGAGCUCAUCCACAUGGAUCUCUUUGGACUGGUCGCCUACCUAAGUAUCGGGGGUAACAAAUAUGGUCUUGUUAUUGUUGAUGACUAUUCCUGUUUCACUUGGGUAUUUUUCUUGUUUGAUAAGUGUCAAGUUAGGGACAAAGUGAAGACAUUUGUUAGAAGAGCACAAAAGGACUUUGGUCUCCCCAUCAAGAAGAUGAGAAGUGAUAAUGGGACCGAAUUCAAGAACACUCAAGUUGAGGAGUUCCUUGAUGAAGAGGGCAUCAAGCAUGAGUUCUCAAGUCCAUACACCCCUCAACAAAAUGGUGUAGUAGAGAGGAAGAACUGAACACUCAUUGAUAUGGCAAGGACAAUGCUAGAUGAGUACAAGACUUCAGAUUUGUUUUGGUGUGACGCUGUCAACACCGCUUGCCAUGCCAUCAAUCGCCUCUACCUACACAAGAAUUUGAAGAAAACUUCAUAUGAGCUUCUAACCGGUAACAAAUCAAAGGUGUCUUACUUUACAGUGUUUGGGUGUAAGUGUUUCAUACUUAACAAGAAACCCAAAACAUCUAAGUUUGCACCUAAAGUUGAUGAAGGUUUUCUUCUUGGUUAUGGAUCAAAUGAGCACGCCUAUCGUGUUUUCAACAAAACCUCUAGGAGAGUUGAAAUAGCAGUAGAUGUGACAUUUGAUGAAUCUAAUGGUUCUCAAGUAGAGCAAGUUGAUUCAAGUGUUGUAGGAAAGGAGGAUCCACCUUGUGAUGCAAUCAAACAAUUGGCUAUUGGUGAUAUUAGGCCACAAGAAGAUGAAGUCACUGGUGUAGUGGUUUCCCAAGCUGCUGGUGAACAAGUUUCCGCUGAUGUACCUGAUAUUGAGGGGGAACAAACCCCUGCUGCAGCACAACAGAGUAGUUGUGCCACACCUAAGAGUGGUAAUGCCGCACCCCCUUCAACAACAGCAGCAAGUCCAACUCAAAUUCGAGGACAAAACCUACAACCCAUAUUUGUAGAAGAAGAAGAAGAAGCUGAAGAUCUAGAAAGUGAUCAAGAGGCCAUCGAGCAUCCAAGACUCAAGUAAAUCAUUCAACGAGAUCACCCCAUCGACAACAUCCUUGGGAGUCUUCAAAGGGGGUAUUGACACGUUCUCAUUUAGCAAAUUUUUGUCAAUAUUACUCUUUUGUUUCUCCUGUGGAACCAGUCAAGGUUGAAAAGGCUCUUGAAGAUGAGGACUGGGUGAUGGCCAUGCAAGAAGAGUUGAAUAACUUUGAAAGAAAUCAAGUUUGGACAUUGGUGGAAAGAGCCAAGACGAACGUGAUUGGCACCAAGUGGGUCUUCCGCAACAAGCAGGAUGAAAAUGGAGUGGUGACUAGGAACAAAGCAAGAUUGGUUGCUCAAGGCUACACUCAAGUAGAGGGCUUCGACUUUGAAGAAAUAUAUGCACCAGUGGCAAGGCUUGAGGCAAUCCGAAUGCUUUUAGACUUUGCUGCCCAUCAUGACUUCAAGCUAUAUCAAAUGGAUGUCAAAAGUGCAUUUCUCAAUGGCCCUAUCCAAGAGCUUGUCUAUGUUGAGCAACCACCACGUUUUGAAGAUCCCAAGUUUCCCAACCACGUCUACAAACUCCAAAAGGUGCUCUAUGGGCUUAAGCAAGCACCAAGAGCAUGGUAUAAGUGCCUUAAGGAAUUCUUGCUCAAACAAGGCUUUGAAAUAAGCAAAGCUGAUCCUACCCUUUUCACUCGCAAAGUCAAUAAAGAUAUAUUUGUGUGCCAAAUAUAUGUCGAUGACAUAAUAUUUGGUAGUACUAACCAAGAAUUUUGUGAGGAAUUUAGUAGGAUCAUGACCAAAAGAUUUGAGAUGUCUAUGAUGGGUGAAUUGAAGUUCUUUCUUGGUUUUCAAAUCAAGCAAUUAAAGGAUGGAACUUUCAUUAGCCAAACUAAGUACACCCAUGAUAUGUUAAAGAAGUUUGACAUGGCGAAUGCAAAGCCCAUAAAAACUCCCAUGCCAACCAAUGGACAUCUUGAUCUUAAUGAGGAAGGGAAAGCCAUCGACCAAAAGGUAUAUCGCUCCAUGAUCGGCUCUCUACUCUAUUUGUGUGCAUCUAGGCCUGAUAUUAUACUUAGUGUGUGCAUGUGUGCUAGAUUUCAAGCUAACCGAAAAGAGUGUCACUUAGUGGCUGUUAAGAGAAUCUUGAGAUAUUUAGUACACACUCCUAACCUUGGCUUGUGGUAUCCUAAGGGCUCCAAGUUUGAUCUACUUGGGUAUUCGGACUCCGAUUACGCCGGUUGCAAAGUGGAUCGAAAAAGCACUUCGGGGACAUGUCAAUUCCUUGGACGGUCCCUAGUGUCUUGGAGUUCUAAAAAGCAAAAUUGUGUAGCCCUUUCCACCGCCGAGGCCGAGUAUGUUGCAGCCGGUGCAUGUUGUGCUCAACUACUUUGGAUGAGGCAAACCCUUCAUGAUUUCGGAUGUCGUUUUACCAAAAUCCCAUUAUUGUGUGACAAUGAAAGUGCCAUAAAGCUUGCAUACAAUCCCGUAAGCCAUUCAAGAACUAAGCACAUAGACGUCCGACAUCACUUCUUGAGAGACCACGAAGCCAAAGGAGAUAUCGAAAUUCACCAUGUGAGCACCGAAAAGCAACUAGCCGAUAUCUUCACUAAGCCUCUUGACGAGACAAGGUUUUGUGCUUUGCGUAGUGAGCUAAAUAUACUUUAUUCUCGUAACGUGGUUUGAAAUUUAGCACACCUUUGAUUGAUCAACUAGUAUCUAGGCAAAAGGUUUGCAAAAAGGUUCAUAAUGUGGUUCAAAAUGCUUUUUCAAAAGAGAACUUGCAUUUUAUGGUCAUUACUUGUUCUUUUUUAUCUGUUGCUGACCAUAACAUGUUAAGUGUGUUGUAUCCCUCUUUCUUCCUUUCUCACUUUUUGGUGUUUGUUGCCAAAGGGGGAGAAUGAGAGGAGGGUACAAUUUUUUUCCUUGCCUUGAAUGAUUGUGUGCAUACUUGUCAUACGCAUCACAUAUAUUCUUGUGACACUAUGUGCAGCACCCCACAGAAGCAUGGAUGUAGGGGGAGCCCCAUCACAUAACUUUAUAUGUGAAACGUGAAUUUUGGCCUCUUAUGCCAUUUUGAGAAUUCAAUUCUCCAUUCACAUAUUUAGGGGGAGUCUCUACACCCAUGACUUCAAAAUCUCAGUUAUACUUUGAAUAUUUUUGUAAGCUCUAGUUGUGUUGUCAUCAAUCACCAAAAAGAGGGAGAUUGUAAGUGCAAUCAAGCCCUAGUGGGUUUUGGUGUUAAUGGCCACACAAUUAGAGGACUAAUGAGAUUUGUUGAGAUGACAAGCAGGUAAAAUAAGAAUGAGGAUAACACAUGAGAUGUGAGAUGGAAAAAGCCCAAUUUACCAAAUGUGUUCGUCCAUUGAUGGAGUUGAACAAAAACAUUCGGUAAAUUAUAGCGCCCCAAGUUUUCAAUAGAUGAACGGCGUUUCGACUCAAGUGGCUACAAAGUUUUUAUCUCUUGUUGAGUUUUAGGAAACGCCGCACUAUCAAGAGGGAUGCAAAUUAAGUUGGUAAGAUGAGGAUAGGGGUGCUCAAGUCAAUUUACUUAAUGCGCAUGAGAGACACACUUGCACUCACAGGCACUCAGGAAAUUUCUUCUCUGCCAGGGUGACCCGGUAGUACCAACCCUCAGGGCCGGUGGUACCGGCAGUGCCAGCCCUUCUCCUGAGUUUUGCGAGAAAAUGAACUAUCGGUAGUACUGGGCUCGGACCGGUGGUACCAGCCAGCACCAGUAGUACCGGUGUGAAACGCCGGUAGUACCGGCAGGCUAAAUCUGCGCUGACUUUGGUUGCGGAGAUUUGAACUGCCGGUGGUAUCGGCCUUCCACCGGUGGUACCGGCAAUGGUCGGUAGUACCGACAAAAGCCCGGUGGUACCGGUAGGCUUAUUUCUCGCAAAUCAUAGAGACUUCUUACCGUUAGAUCUGAGGUAGCCGGUGGUACCGGUGGUUGCCCAGGUAGUACCGGUAGUUGUUCAGGACCUUUGUAUAAAUAGCUCUUCCCUCAUUUCUGACCGUUGGCUCUUCCAUUCCUUCGAAUCCACAUCUGAGAAAACAGUCUCCAAGCUUUGACUCACCCACUCUCUCCCUCUUUGCUCCUAGGCUUCAACCCUUGAGAGAUUCGAGCUAGAGAAGUGAGAUUAGAGAGUUGGGAGCUUCGAUUCGUGACUUGAGCACUUGGUUUCUUCGUCUUGCCGGUUGGUUUGCAUUUGUUACUCUUGGGUUCUUGGAACCCUAGCCGGCUAGGCAUUCUUUGUGGUUGCCCGUGUUGUUUCACUUGUGAGGGCACCCCGAAGUGUUUGUAUUACCCUUUGAUUCUUAGUGGAAAUCUCUAGCUAACCUUCAUGGUUACUUGAGGGAGGAGACCUAAGUGGUCGGACCUUCGUGGUCACCUCAACAACGAGGACGUAGGAACUCCUUAGUGGGGAUUGCCGAACCUCGGGAUAAAUAUCUUGUCUUGCUGUGGAUGUAGCUUCGACUAUCCUUGUUCUUGUGUUCUUCGUGUUCUUCCUCUCUACCCAUUUUCAUAGGUGAACAAGGGUCGAUCUAUGUUUUGGGGAAGAACCGAGUUGUCGACGAAAGCUGGUCGGCAGUCUACCUUGGGGUAUACCCACGGAAGUAGUUUAUCGGUAGACGGUGCGCAAACUACGAACUCGAUGGUGACGCAAGACACGGACAAGCUUUUUAUCCAGGUUCGGCCGCCGAGUUGGCGUAAUACCUACGUCCUGCGUCUGGUUGUAUUGAUUUGUGUUGAGAGAAUAUGAUGUCCUAGGGGGGUCCCUUGCCUCUCCUUAUAUAGUCCAGAGGGCAGGGUUACAGAUUUGGAAACUAAUCCUAGUCGGUUACAACUGCAAUAGAUGGUUCGAUAUCAAUUCCUAUUCUAACCGACUAGAAUCUUGCUUGAUCCUCACGUCUUGUUUCCUUGCACGGGACUCCAAGCCGUCGGGUCAAGCCUCGAGCACGUCUCGUAGUGGCCCAAGCCUCCUGGCCCAAGUCUGGCCGUAAGGGUAUAGGGGUUUAUACCCCCACAGCUAGUCCCCGAGCACCGUGUAUUAUGAUGUAACACGCCGUCUUGAGCUUCUUCGAUCAGUGAGGCUUGAUGUUUUCAAUAAGCAGGAAAGUCGCCCAAACAAUUGCAACGGUAUUUUGACCAACUCAAAAGACAGUUGAUCAACAUUGACAUCGAAGAAGCAGGUUGUUCGAAGAAUGCAUGGUGCUCUAAACUAAAAAAGAUUUCUUUCCUGGUGAAGUGUGCCCACUUUACUUUUUUGAAAAGUAUAGUCUUACAAAAAAGCAAGCAUAUUCACCGCAAGGUGAAGUGUGCCCACUUAGUCCCCGAGCCUGGUAGUAGGUGACGUAGGCACGUGGUGCCAGGGUCAAAAGCAAAGUCUUUAAAGAAAUUCUGAAACUGAGAUGCAUCGCCAGAUGCAUCGUACCGAUGUAGUCCCCGAGCUUGCUGGGAGGCGAAGUAUGAGCCUUGUAGCAAGGUCUAAAAAAAAUUGAAUUUACCAUUCCAUCUGCAAUUGAAUAGACUAAUCGACCAGUCCCCGGGUGUACAAUUGCAUGAUGACCAGUCCCCAAGCAUCGAGCGCUCAGCGGUUGGUGCGAUAUAUUGAAGGAUGGAACUGAUAGACUGGGCGACCAGUCCCCGAGCAUCAAGUGCUCGGUGGUCGGUGCAGUCCUUGAAGGUCCGUGUCGAUAAACUGGGCGACCAGUCCCCGAGCAUCAAGUGCUCGGUGGUCGGUGCGGUCCUUGAAGGUCCGAGUCGAUAAACUGGGCGACCAGUCCCCGAGCAUCAAGUGCUCGGUGGUCGGUGCAGUCCUUGCAUUGUUGACUCUCUGCCAUAUUUGUCUUCUUAUUUUUGAAAAAAUCUUUCCAGUUAAAGUUGACGUGACGAGACCAUCUGAUGGUGUGUCAGAUGGCUGCAUGAAAAGUUGCGCCUGGCAACUGUGCGGCCGCCCGUUGCACGGUUUGUGAAAAAGAAACCAUCAAUUGGUACGAAAACUCCGCCGCAUUAAUUGUCUAUAAUCAUUGGAAACCGAAACGCCGCAUCCGCCGCAUGGUCCGCCCACUUGCUGAGAAUACAGGAAGUGGGAGGGGUGGAGCUGCGGGUUAUAAGAGCUUGGACAGUUCCACCUGUGUUGCUUACCCUGCCAUUGCCAUCAAUCCUUCCUCUUUUCCCUCCUUCAAUCUCCUUCAUCUUCGUAGCCCGAGUCCCCUCCUCCAAUGGCGAAGAGCGACUCCAAGAAGAGGGUCGAGCUGAUGGCCAAGGAGUGGAAGAAAUCCCGCAGCACCGCCAAGUCCCUUGGAGACCUCGUCGACAUGGGACUUCUGCACAGCUCGGAGCUCGGCGGCUGGAGAGCGCCGGAAGGAGAGAGCUUCCCCGACCCUCGUGCCGGUGAGAUUGUCAUGUUCGAGGAUUUUAUUAAGAGGGGCUUUGGGGUUCCAGUUCAUCCUUUUCUCUAAGGUCUUCUUCUGUAUUAUGAGAUCGGGAUUUGCAAUCUGCACCCGAACUCAAUUCUCCUUAUCUCCACUUUUAUCCAUCUGUGCGAGGCCUAUGUUGGCAUAGAACCACACUUCGAUCUUUUUCGUUAUCUUUUCUGCUUGAGGAAGAAGGGAGCAGUUGGAGGCUCCAAGGUUGCAGGUGGAGUAUACCUCAACCUUCGCGAUGGAAUGAAGAAUCGCUACCUGCACUGUCCAUGGAACACUUCCUUGACCGAAUGCUAUAAGAAGUGGUUCUACGUCAGGGAGGAACCGGGCAGCUCCACGUUUUGCGACGUGGGAUACAUUCCCGAGAAGAGGAUGAGCUGGACCGACCGCCCGGAUUUCGACGGUCAAGUGGCGGAUCUCAUGAAGCUGAUCGACUGGUCGCGCCUGGACGGGCUUGGCGUGGUCGGCAACUUCAUUUGUCGUCGGGUGAUGCCCUGCCAGAAGAGGGUGCACUCAGCGUACGAGUAUGCCGGAAGCGUGGACCCGACCAGGAUGCGGCCGGAGAUCUUAGAGAAGGCGGAGGUACAGCAACUGUUGAACGAGCUGUUCAACUUCUCGGACGGAGGCUUCAUCCGUGGCAGUGAUCGGGUGCAAGCUUUCAAGUUAGGACGACCGGCACCAAAGGUAUGUUGCAGAUUAUUGUGUUUUAGCAUUCGUAUAUCGUCUGUAGCUGACUCAUCUUUGUUGCUUUUGCAGAUCGGCAAUGUCGACCGGUGCACAGUGUAUGUAUCACUGGCACCGGGGAUGGAGAAUCCUGCGGGAGAAAACCCGCCAGAAGACGAUGCUGCUCGGUGUACUCAUUAUACCAGCAGUGAGGAGGAACAAGCCCGCCCCGUCCCGACCACCGAGGAGAGGGUAGCGGGGAAAAGGCCAUUGCCGGCAGAUCCCUUGCCGACACCGAUGUUGCCGGUAGAUCCACCGGCGGAGAGCAGCCAAGCGCCGAAGCGUCGUCGGCUCGUGCGGAUCGUUGACGACGACGACGACGAGGAGGUUGCACCGUCACUAGUCCGACGGCCUCGGAACCGCCCAGAUAAUGCGCCGGCCGCUACUGAUCGGGUGGCCGGCGACCCCCCUGCUCCGCAAGUUGUCGGGAUGGGGGCGCAGGUGCCGACCGGCCGGGCAAGGAGGAGGUUCACCGCGACCCACCGUCGAUCAGACCUGUAAGUGUUGGACUUACGUAUUUUGGACUCCUCUCUGUUUUUUUUAAAUUGCACUUUUGUUCCUGUAGUGCGGCGUCGGAUGUCGACCCCGGCCAGGCUGCCAGGCAGGGGACGGGUGAGCCUGUCCGUGCUGCUGAAGACACGGCCCCCCAGAGCACAGAGCAGCCUACGGCUGCAGCCGCGCCUGGGAGCACCGAGGGGCUCCCGACCGCGGCACCGACUGCGACAAGCAGCCCGACCAGGGCUGAGGAGGCUCCCCCAGCUGGCUCCACGGAAGGGGAGGGAAGAGCCCCGACCCCUCCUCCUGCUGGGGGGAGUGGAGUCCCCACGCCGCCCCGAGCAGGAACCUCUUCGGCUGCAGGCUCCCCAGGUCUGGUCCGGGGGCCAGUAAUGCCCGGGACCACCACCGGGGGUGACGCAGCGUAGGAGGAGGAAACCCGGGCGGCCUCCGAUGACGAGGUGGAAGAGAUUGAGGGUCGUCCCCGUGAUGGCCGCCAACACGUGUAUGUGUGGCGCCAACGCGGGGAUCACUUUAUCGGGCAUGAGGAGCUCACCGAGACCGAGGAGGCCGCCAGGGUGGAGCGCGCGGCCAAGCGCCUUGUCGACGAAGUCAAGGUAAGCGACUUUUUGUACUGAUGGACGUUCUGUGCAUUGUCUUGCUUGAUCGUCAUAUGUCUAUUUUGCAGGGCGCGAUGAAAACGGCGAAGUACCGGAAACGGUGCUUUGACCAGAUAGAAGGCGUCGUGGCCGAGAACAAGGCUCUGGCCGCAGAGGUGGACCGGCUGCGAUCGGAGGUUGGGGAGAAUGUGGCCGAGAUGAAUGCCCAAGAGGAGCAUCGUCUCGAGCUUACCCGUCACUUGGCCAACCAGUACCAGCAACGAGAAGGUUAGUCACGCGCUCCGAGCAGCUUCGUGUAGCUGUGCAGUUUGCUUUGCUGACCAGGUUGUCAUUCACUUAGAACUGGAGGAGGAGGUGGCGCGCCUCCGACAGGAGAAGGAGCAGCUCAGCCAAGAGCUCGCUAAUGCGCUGGAGUCCGGGCGCCGAGCAGGAGAGGAGUUGGGUCGGAAGGACCGCGAGUUAUCUGGUAACACGCCCUGCCUCGCUAUCUGUCGCUUGGCACCCCUUUGUUUUUAAUAUGCCGAUAACGUCCUAUUUUGCUUGCAGUGCUCAAGGUGAACGCCAAGAGGCACCUGGAUGAUCUGGUCAAGGACCGGGACUCUUGGAAGGUCAACUGUUGUAAGAUCUGGAAAGGAGUAUCCCCGGUCCUAGACCUGAUCAGUCCCGAGCUCCCGGAGAGCCAGCCCCGCGCACCGAAGUUGACCCCAGUCGAGAAGGCGCAACGGGCGUGGGACUGGCUCCAGCAGUUCGUGAAGGACGCCGGGGAGUUUGCCGGCGCGCAUGUCCGCAGCAUGGUGCGCGCCCACUACCCCCUGGUCGACUUGAGCAGGCUGGAGAAGGGGUACCCCAAGGAGGUCGGCCCACAGGAGGCGGACGAGCUUCGGGGUGGUCUGCUGGACUUGUCGUCGACGGUGAUCGGCGACAUCAAUUUGUGCGGAACGGCCACUCCCCCAGACCAGCCGAGUUCAGAUAGGUCGGCCAGGGAGUUGUCGGGCGCGUCCGUUGCGGGAGAUGGGUGGUCGACGCCUGCGGUCUCGACCAGCCAGGCGCCGGUGGCCCCGACCCCUUCGUCCGGGCAGCAGGGCCAGGCGGGUGAUCAGCCCGAGCAGCUAGGCCAAUAGAGUAGUCUGUAGGAAUAGACUAGUGUCUGCCCGUGAGGGUAUUUAUUGUAAACUUUGUAUGUAAAGUUUGUAAUAAAGUUUGCUUUUUGUCAUGACUGUCGUUUUGAGCGCUGUAUAAUUGUCUGAGUGACGUGUCACCGUAUUCGACUUGAUAGUCGCUAAGAGCAUCCAUUGCAGAAGUUUUGCCGAGUGCUGUGUGCGACAAGGUAUAGGCAAAAAAUAGAGAAUUUUAUUAUUGACAAUUAUAAGAUACUUACAAAGGAAAGUUAUUAAAACUUUAUGGAUAGAAACGUCGCAGUUUGUCUAUGUGCCAGGAGUUAGGCACUUGCGUUCCGUCUGGGUAUGCCAAUCUGUAGGACGUAGGUCGUGUGACCUCGGUCACCACGAAGGGUCCUUCCCAGGGAGUGGAUAGCUUGUGCAUUCCCUCCUGGCUUGUUUUCCAUCGAAGUACCAGAUCGCCGACCAUGAAGGAACGGUCCUUGACGUUCCUGUUGUAGUAUCGCCUGACUGCCGCGAGAUAUUUUGCUGUUCGGAGACAAGAAUCCAAACGCUUUUCCUCCAUGCAAUUGAUUUCGAGUUCUCUGGCGUUGUCGGCAGUCGCUUGGUCGAAGUGUUCGAUUCUAGGAGAUCCGAAGUGUAUGUCAGACGGUAGGACCGCCUCUGAACCGUACACCAUGAAGUAGGGAGACACCCCUGUGUUUCGACUGGUCUGAGUUCGGAGGCCCCAGACCACUGCCGGCAAUUCUUUCAUCCAUCGACCGGGUGCUCUGUCGUUCUCGGUGUACAACCUUUUCUUUAGAGCGUCAACGAUCAUUCCGUUAGCACGUUCAACUUGACCGUUGGCACGUGGGUGUGCCACUGACACGUAUUUUAUGACUAUGCCUCUGUCAUCGCAGAAGUCCCAAAAAGUGGUGCCAGUAAACUGAGUGCCCAGGUCGGUGAUUAUGCUGCUUGGGAUGCCGAAUCUGUGUAUGAUUUGAUUGAGGAACUCCACAGCCUUCUCGGAGGUUGCCUUGACCAGAGGCAUGUAUUCGAUCCACUUGGAGAACUUGUCGAUUAACACGAAAACAAA